rnacentral:rRNA from 1 species
AUUGAACGCUGGCGGCAUGCCUUACACAUGCAAGUCGAACGGCAGCACGGGAGCAAUCCUGGUGGCGAGUGGGCGAACGGGUGAGUAAUAUAUCGGAACGUGCCCGGUCGUGGGGGAUAACGUAGCGAAAGCUACGCUAAUACCGCAUACGAUCUACGGAUGAAAGCGGGGGAUCGCAAGACCUCGCGCGAUUGGAGCGGCCGAUAUCAGAUUAGGUAGUUGGUGAGGUAAAGGCUCACCAAGCCGACGAUCUGUAGCUGGUCUGAGAGGACGACCAGCCACACUGGGACUGAGGCACGGCCCCAGACUCCUACGGGAGGCAGCAGUGGGGAAUUUUGGACAAUGGGCGCAAGCCUGAUCCAGCAAUGCCGCGUGCAGGAUGAAGGCCUUCGGGUUGUAAACUGCUUUUGUACGGAACGAAACGGUGAGCUCUAAUACAGUUUGCUAAUGACGGUACCGUAAGAAUAAGCACCGGCUAACUACGUG